UCUAAUAUGGCAGAUAAGUGCAAUGGAUUUAAGCUCCAUAAAUAAAAAUUUUUAAUUUUUUAUUAGAA
rnacentral:tRNA from 1 species